AUAAUGGGUCAGCGACUUAUAUUCUGUAGCAAGGUUAACCGAAUAGGGGAGCCGAAGGGAAACCGAGUCUUAACUGGGCGUUAAGUUGCAGGGUAUAGACCCGAAACCCGGUGAUCUAGCCAUGGGCAGGUUGAAGGUUGGGUAACACUAACUGGAGGACCGAACCGACUAAUGUUGAAAAAUUAGCGGAUGACUUGUGGCUGGGGGUGAAAGGCCAAUCAAACCGGGAGAUAGCUGGUUCUCCCCGAAAGCUAUUUAGGUAGCGCCUCGUGAAUUCAUCUCCGGGGGUAGAGCACUGUUUCGGCAAGGGGGUCAUCCCGACUUACCAACCCGAUGCAAACUGCGAAUACCGGAGAAUGUUAUCACGGGAGACACACGGCGGGUGCUAACGUCCGUCGUGAAGAGGGAAACAACCCAGACCGCCAGCUAAGGUCCCAAAGUCAUGGUUAAGUGGGAAACGAUGUGGGAAGGCCCAGACAGCCAGGAUGUUGGCUUAGAAGCAGCCAUCAUUUAAAGAAAGCGUAAUAGCUCACUGGUCGAGUCGGCCUGCGCGGAAGAUGUAACGGGGCUAAACCAUGCACCGAAGCUGCGGCAGCGACGCUUAUGCGUUGUUGGGUAGGGGAGCGUUCUGUAAGCCUGCGAAGGUGUGCUGUGAGGCAUGCUGGAGGUAUCAGAAGUGCGAAUGCUGACAUAAGUAACGAUAAAGCGGGUGAAAAGCCCGCUCGCCGGAAGACCAAGGGUUCCUGUCCAACGUUAAUCGGGGCAGGGUGAGUCGACCCCUAAGGCGAGGCCGAAAGGCGUAGUCGAUGGGAAACAGGUUAAUAUUCCUGUACUUGGUGUUACUGCGAAGGGGGGACGGAGAAGGCUAUGUUGGCCGGGCGACGGUUGUCCCGGUUUAAGCGUGUAGGCUGGUUUUCCAGGCAAAUCCGGAAAAUCAAGGCUGAGGCGUGAUGACGAGGCACUACGGUGCUGAAGCAACAAAUGCCCUGCUUCCAGGAAAAGCCUCUAAGCAUCAGGUAACAUCAAAUCGUACCCCAAACCGACACAGGUGGUCAGGUAGAGAAUACCAAGGCGCUUGAGAGAACUCGGGUGAAGGAACUAGGCAAAAUGGUGCCGUAACUUCGGGAGAAGGCACGCUGAUAUGUAGGUGAAGUCCCUCGCGGAUGGAGCUGAAAUCAGUCGAAGAUACCAGCUGGCUGCAACUGUUUAUUAAAAACACAGCACUGUGCAAACACGAAAGUGGACGUAUACGGUGUGACGCCUGCCCGGUGCCGGAAGGUUAAUUGAUGGGGUUAGCGCAAGCGAAGCUCUUGAUCGAAGCCCCGGUAAACGGCGGCCGUAACUAUAACGGUCCUAAGGUAGCGAAAUUCCUUGUCGGGUAAGUUCCGACCUGCACGAAUGGCGUAAUGAUGGCCAGGCUGUCUCCACCCGAGACUCAGUGAAAUUGAACUCGCUGUGAAGAUGCAGUGUACCCGCGGCAAGACGGAAAGACCCCGUGAACCUUUACUAUAGCUUGACACUGAACAUUGAGCCUUGAUGUGUAGGAUAGGUGGGAGGCUUUGAAGUGUGGACGCCAGUCUGCAUGGAGCCGACCUUGAAAUACCACCCUUUAAUGUUUGAUGUUCUAACGUGGACCCGU
rnacentral:rRNA from 1 species